CAGUCGCCGCGGGAAAACAGAGGGUGCAAGCGUUAAUCGGAAUUACUGGGCGUAAAGCGCGCGUAGGUGGUUUGUUAAGUUGGAUGUGAAAUCCCCGGGCUCAACCUGGGAACUGCAUCCAAAACUGGCAAGCUAGAGUAUGGUAGAGGGUGGUGGAAUCUCCUGUGUAGCGGUGAAAUGCGUAGAUAUAGGAAGGAACACCAGUGGCGAAGGCGACCACCUGGACUGAUACUGACACUGAGGUGCGAAAGCGUGGGGAGCAAACAGGAUUAGAUACCCCGGUAGUCCCUGUCUCUUAUAC
rnacentral:rRNA from 1 species